AGGCGUAGAGUAGAGGGAAAAACUAAAUUUCUUUUAUUUUUUUAACCUUAAAUUUAUAUAUAUUUUUUAAGAUUAAGUCGAACCCUAAUUUGGCUAGUCAACACCCAAUAUACAUACAUAUAUCUAUGUAUUUCCUUUUCCUUUUCCUCUUUAACCUCUCAAUCUCCCACAAAAAUAAUCCAUAAAUCCAAAUCACCAAAUAUAAACUUAAUUAUUUUAUCACAUUUAAUUCGAUGUCCAACUCCAAAAAUCGAAAAUAUAAUUCCAAAUAGUUCGAGACAAUUAAUUUAAAAACACUCAAAAAAAUUCGAGAUGUUACAAAUGUAAUAAGGGAUGUUAACUUAUGUUGUUCUCAACCCAAUUACUAUCACGUGUUAGCUCUAGGAACAGCUCCAUCGUGCAGUUCCUCCUAAAGAGGACUUCAUUACCUAGCCAGUGAGGACCUAUAUCCACGUUGGUCAAUCAGACCAUGAACUCAUUCAUUACAUCCUCUGGAAUAGCAUGUGCCGGGUAAUAGGGGACGAUGCCGAUCGGACGUUGAACGAGCUGAAUGUAUUUCUGCUUUUUUCCCGUCACCCUUGCCGUGUCAACUGGAGGGGUGUACGGUUGUGUCGGCUUCCUCUUCCUACUUGUCCGUCUUUGUUCCCCUCAAUGUCCACAGGCUCGCCCUUCACCUCAAGGUCUAGAUCGGGCCAUAGGUUCAUCCUUCACCAUGAGCUCGCCCUUCACCUUGAACUUUUUCAAUGCCUGUGGUGGAAGAAACUUAGGAUGUGGUAGGGUCAAUGAGGGAAAGGGUGGUACAUCGGGAAGCAAUAUAGCAAGAGGAGUGGUAGAUAAGAGGGAUGGGGGAGAACGGUGGAUAUUGUAACGUUGGGGAGGAUGGGCUUGAUGGAGGAUGGAGGGUGGAGGGAUGGGGUCACGGGACUUGGUGGAAGUUGGAGGAAUGAGGUCAUGGGACUCGGUGGAAGGUGGAGGAAUGGGGUCUUGGGACUAUGUGGAAGGUGGAGGAAUGGGGUCAUGGGACUCGAUGGAAGGUGGAUGAAUGAGGUCUUAGAACUCGAUCGAAGGUGGAGGAAUGAGGUCAUGGGACUCAGUGGAAGGUGGAAGAAUGGGGUCACUAGUCUUGGUGGAAGGUGGAGGAAGGUCACGGGACUCAGUGGCUGAUGGAGGAGUGGGGUUAGGGGACUCGGUGGAAGGUGGAGGAAUGGGGUCAAUAGUCUCGGUGGACUACGUGCCUAAACCCUAUAUCAUUUACGAAGUAUGUUAGGUCAAACACAACAUGUUAUAGAUUUACAUUAGAACAAGUUAAAGAUAAUAUUACGUGCCCGACACAAUGACCGCAGUAGGCUGGUGAUUGUUUGUACGCCAACCGGAAGGACACUCAGAUCAGACUUCACAUCUUUCAAAUUUGACUGUACAUCAUCCAAUUUAUGCUCCACCAUAGACACUCUCUACAAAUGCCCACACCCCUUGUGGACUCGAAAUAGGAUAUAUUCGACCAAGGCGACACUCGCUCCUCAGUUGGGGGCACAUGCUCGUCAGUAGGGAGCUUGUGAGACUCAUUAUAAGGAGGGUGAAUCUCGUGUUCUACUUUUAAAGUUCUGGCUUGUGAAAUCGAUGCUCGUGACUCUCUAUUCACUGGAGUUACUAUGAGCAUCCUCAUCAUGGUGCGAUCUAUGUGUCUCUGAGGAGCUCGUCUCGGCAUCAAUGGCUUGUAUACGGGUCGUUCAUCAACCUUAAUGUCUCUAUACUGCCUCUCCCUAUCGGACAUGAUCAAUGGUGUGGGUGUGAUCCUUGUCUGUACAAAAUAAUGAAUAAUUUGUUAGUUAUAUGUGACAUUCACCUUAAAUCCGAGUAAAUUGUGAUGUGAUACACUAAUCUCAAUGGACUAAAACAUGUCUCAUUGUAUUGCUCUGGUCGGCGGUGAGUUUGUACACUCCCACCUCAGGAAUCGAGGUACGAUGUGUACAUUUAGUCAGAUUGCAACUUUUUCAGCAACCGUUGAAAUGAUCUCGUAUGCUCACACCUACCAUAUUUCAUAAACGAUUAUAAAAGAAGAAUAAGUAGUAAGUGACAUUGACACUACAAUGAGUAGAUCUCGUAUCGCCGAUGAAUGGAUAUUAUCUAAAUUGCAUGAGGAAACUCCGGUAGGUUGUACUUGACAAUGUAGUGCUUAUUGAUCUUGGACCUUUUUUUUGUAGUUCUCUACCUUAACACUCAAUCCUCUUUGUAGUCCAAGUAACGUCCUCUCCCAUAGCACGUGGCCCCAAUCCAUGGAAUUGAAAUAAUUCAAAUCCUCCACAUCAAUUAAUAAGGUCUUGUCGACAUUGACCCUUGUCUUCUCCCUUCCCAUCAUACCCCAAUUUAGUGUAAUAGACCAAUGCCAUCUUCACAGCAUCCAUGUCGUUCUCAAACUCUAUCUCUUUUUAUACUGUCUCUAAGGUACCAAUGUGAAUGUCCCCUGCAAAAUCAUUCUUCAAGUACCUACUACGCAGUGAUCCAAGUGCUUCACCCCUUCUCACAACUGUUGGAUUAGGUGACCACCACAAUCCUGUUACCAAUAGAAAGUCUUCUUUGAUGAAUGCUACAACUGUACCAUUCAGAUCAAAGGUCAUUGCAUCCUUCCUAUCGUCUACAACCUCCCUCAAUAGCAUGUAAUGGACCAAUGGAUUGUUGAAGAUGAUAUCCACGUCCACAAAUCUCCCAAAUACCGUUUUCCUGAAGAGGGCAAGCUGAGUGGGAGUAAGCUUCUCUUUCACUAUCUUGUUAGUUGUCUCAAUGUGAGAGGAUAGGCCACCUUGGCCUGGGAAAUGAUCAUGGGGAGGAAUCUUGAAUUGUUUAGUCAUACUGCACAGAAUAACAAAAAACACCAAAAGAGCUAAGAAUUCUAUUCAAUACACGAUGCACGAUACACGAUACUCAAUACUCGAUUGCUCUAUACCUGAUACCUUAUACAUGCUACAUGGUGUCCCUUACUUGCUAUAUGGCAUGUGACUUAAGAAUUCUAUUCAAUACACGAUACUCGAUUCUCGUUACACGAUGCACGAUACACGAUACUCAAUACUCGAUUGCUCUAUACCUGAUACCUUAUACAUGCUACAUGGUGUCCCUUGCUAUAUGGCAUGUGAUUGGAUGGUCGAUUAUCGAGCAUUCGAUUUGAUUUUCGCCUUCUGAACUUAUCCUACUCAAACUCAAGACUCUAGACGGUCCGAAUUAACAAAAAUAUGAAAACUGAAAUGAAACAAAUUCGAGCUCCAACCAAACAUGCAAGAUAUGAAAAUCGAAAUGAAAAACGUAUUGGUCGAGUAUCGAGUAACAAGCGCAUGUCGAGGAACAUGAUGCCAAAAUAUACAAAGAAAGAGAUGAAUGAUGCCAAAACAUAAACAAGGAGAAGAAUGUUACCUGAUGCAGAGAUAUUCGAAUUUCGAGUGUAGAGGUAUUGUCAUCGAGGGAUAUACAAUCGGAAGAACAAAGAGAAUAGUCUGAGCUAACACAGAAGUGGUGAAAUAAUAGACUUCAAACGCCUUCAAACGGGUUAAGAAUUAAAAAUAAUCGAGUAUAAAGUAAUUGAGAAUCGAGUAUACACAUGUCGAUUGCAGUCGUAUUGAGUGACCAUGUACCUGGAUAUCGAGUGAUCGUGCAUCGAGGAACGAGUGAGGAAGUAAUUGAGUAUCGUGUAUGACGUGGAUAUGAUCGAGUAUACACAUGUUGAUUGGCAGUCGUAUAGAGUGACCAUGCAUCUGAAUAUCGAGUGACUUGCAUUGAGGAACGAGUGACGAACCAUCGAGGAUCGAGUAACUUUGUAUUGGCAGGCGCUUGGGGUGCAUCACAAGGACAUAUCAGUAAAAUUACACGUGAAUGACGUAAGCAGGAGGCCAUUUUCCAUUACUUUAUCUACAGAUGACACUUUUCAUUUGGGCCUCCCAAAUGAGACCAUCCGUAUAAAAAAUACGAUUCGAUUCCCUACCCAUUUAAUUAAUUAAAAUAGAAAACAAAUAGAUCAACCCAUAAAAAUUAGGAACAAAAUCUUCCUUCUCGUCUCUCGUUAGAAUCUCAAAUCACCGAUCUUUCUUGCAAAGUGCCAAGUGCUGUGCGACUGCUUUUGAAGCCCUAAGUUGUGGUCCGAAUCUGCCAUCUAGUAAGCUCACUCAAUGUUUUGUGAUUUGCAUUUAUGAAUUAUUAUAUGGGAUUUGUAAUCGAGACUGCUUAUUAGUGGAUGAUCCAUCUCUGGGACUUGUUUCUUGUUUCUACUUUUUUUUGCUUGUUUGCUCUCUAUGUGGUCUUUCAUCGUUAUGGAUGCUUAUUCGGUGGUUUUUGCCUUCUCUUUUUUGUUUUCUUUCACCUGUAUAUGAAUUCACUGAUCUUCAAAUUUGUGAACGCUUUAUUGUCUUUUCAUUUUCGUUCAUCGACAUGAUGAAGUUUAUGAAAUCUAAUAUGGGAGGAUUUCCUUAUUAUGUUCUUAAAUUGUGAAUCAAAACGUAAAUUACUUUCUAAAAUAGCGUAUGUUAUUUUCUUUAUUCCACACUUCUAAGUAUGUUACUUACCAUAAUCUAAUUUUCCACUUGCCCUUAAAAUCUCCACAUGUGCAAGAAUAAAGAAGAGGGCAGAACAAGGAGUUCACUUUAUAUGGCUGAACUCAAAUUUUCUAGAAUCCAUUUUGUGUCCUCCAUUGCCAUGCAAAAGGUCAUCAAUGAAAAUUUGGAGGUUUGGUUUGGUGACCUUUUGUUUGGUGUUAUUUAUUUAUAUUUUUAAGUUGUGUGAAGCAUCUGGAACUCUUAUUCUUGUUUAGUAUUUUUAAUUAAAAUCUUAUGUCUAAAAACUCUCUC